rnacentral:rRNA from 1 species
UACGAAGGGUGCAAGCGUUACUCGGAAUUACUGGGCGUAAAGCGUGCGUAGGUGGUUUGUUAAGUCUGAUGUGAAAGCCCUGGGCUCAACCUGGGAAUGGCAUUGGAUACUGGCGAGCUAGAGUGCGGUAGAGGGUAGUGGAAUUCCCGGUGUAGCAGUGAAAUGCGUAGAGAUCGGGAGGAACAUCGGUGGCGAAGGCGACUACCUGGACCAGAACUGACACUGAGGCACGAAAGCGUGGGGAGCAAACAGG